GGGACUGUGGCUCAGUGGUACAACAUCUGCUUUGAAUGAAAAAGGUUGCGGGUUCAAUCCCUGGCGCCUCCU